rnacentral:rRNA from 1 species
GAUGAACGCUAGCGGGAGGCCUAACACAUGCAAGCCGAGCGGUAGAGUCUCUUCGUAGACUUUAGAGCGGCGCCCGGGUACGGAACACUUGUGCAACCUGCCUUUAUCUGUGGGAUAGCCUUUCGAAGGGAAGAUUAAUACCCCAUAAUAUACUUGAUGUCAUCAUCUGGUAUUGAAAACUCCGGUGGAUAUAGAUGGGCACGCGCAAGAUUAGAUAGUUGGUGAGGUAACGGCUCACCAAGUCAGCGAUCUUUAGGGGGGCUGAGAGGGUGAUCCCCCACACUGGUACUGAGACACGGACCAGACUCCUACGCGAGGCAGCAGUGAGGAAUAUUAGACAAUGGGUGAGAGCCUGAUCCAGCCAUCCCGCGUGAAGGACGACGGCCCUAUGGGUUGUAAACUUCUUUUGUAUAGGGAUAAACCUAGAUACGUGUAUCUAGCUGAAGGUACUAUACGAAUAAGCACCGGCUAACUACGUG